AUUGAACGCUGGCGGCAUGCCUUACACAUGCAAGUCGAACGGCAGCACGGGAGCAAUCCUGGUGGCGAGUGGCGAACGGGUGAGUAAUAUAUCGGAACGUGCCCAGUCGUGGGGGAUAACGUAGCGAAAGCUACGCUAAUACCGCAUACGAUCUACGGAUGAAAGCGGGGGAUCGCAAGACCUCGCGCGAUUGGAGCGGCCGAUAUCAGAUUAGCUAGUUGGUGGGGUAAAAGCUCACCAAGGCGACGAUCUGUAGCUGGUCUGAGAGGACGACCAGCCACACUGGAACUGAGACACGGUCCAGACUCCUACGGGAGGCAGCAGUGGGGAAUUUUGGACAAUGGGCGCAAGCCUGAUCCAGCAAUGCCGCGUGCAGGAUGAAGGCCUUCGGUUGUAACUGCUUUGUACGGUAACGAAACGGUGAGCUCUAAUAAAGACUUGCUAAUGACGGUACCGUAAGAAUAAGCACCGGCUAACUACGUGCC
rnacentral:rRNA from 1 species